CAGUGUGAGGGUGGCAGCCCAGGGAGCCAUCGCCCGGAGGAAUGACCUGGUGGGAACUCCCUGGCAGCUGGUGGAAAGGCUCGUGGUCCCUGAUGGCCUCGCAAUCGGCAGCGCUGUCUCGGAGUGAACUGCCACGGGAAAUUUCUCCCAGGAGUGUAAACGUACUUGGGCCUGCACUGGUUUCUUUUCCUCUUCAGGCAUUGGAGCGUGUAUCAGCUGGUGGCUCGAUGGAGUGCAGCGGGUGGCUGAAGGCAGCAAUACCCCUCAAGCCAGGUGGCUGUGCUGUGUGCCAUGUUGCACAUGCCUGCUGUUUUAAAGGUGGCAUCAGAUCGGGGGAGGGAAACAAAUGGAAAAAAGGGAGACAAGUUCUUCAGCGGUGGUGUCUUGGUUUGGUGGAAGCCUCUUACCCAGCUGUUUGGUGCCGGGAACCUGAAUUAUUAUUUAAGAAGAAGGGAAAAAAAAAGUUUAUUUAUUGUGACCUACACUCAGUUUUUAUUCAUCAUGGAAAAUCUGUAUAUUCACAAAUGAGGGCUAUUCAUCUGCAGACUGCAGCAUUCUUCAGCUGUCCGGGGCUGCAUCAGCCGCACUUCUUCAGCUUUUGUGUUCAUCUCGAAGCCUCUUCAUCCAAAUUGUUCAUCAUCUUGAUGGCGGAGCUUUAUCUUGCUCUAGUGCAGCUGCAUUCCCCUUAUCCAAAGUGCUGAGAGAUACAAGGGAGAGGGAGAGAGGGAGAGAGGGAGGCAGAAUAGAAAAGAGAAAAAGGAAUGGCCAGUGCUCAUAUGAGGAUAAUUUGUAGUUUCUCAAUAAUAAAAAAAAAAAGGAGGACAGGCUAAUUACUGGCUUAACUAGGGCAGCCUGUGGAUCCUCAUGUCAAAAGGACUAGCGUAAUUAUUUGCCAUCAAAGCACAUUCAUAUUGUGGUACAAAAGAAGGGCCUUUCGCAAAUGGAUCUCACUAAUAAACAGGGCUGAGAGGAGCAUUAUGUG